rnacentral:misc_RNA from 1 species
CCCCAACCCUCACCAGCUGCAGUAGUAAUUCAAAAUACUCCUGAUUCAUUCUCUUCUCAGCAUCAACAAAUGCAAAAUCAUAGCUGGAAGCUUCACCAUUCAUAAUCAGAGAACUUAAAAUGUCUGCCGCCAUUCCAUGCUUCACAUUGACCUUGUGUGAUACACCAGCUCUCUCGUAGUACCUUUUUGCAACAUCAAGAGAAUUGGCAUCUCUUUCACAGGCAACCAAACAACCUGAUUCCGGUAGCACCAAAGCAACUGCCAACGAUGAGUACCCAGUAUAAACACCGACUUCAAUACACCGUUGCGCACCAAUUAUCU